CGUUUAGUCGUUCUCAGUAUCCCAAACAUAGUGGUUGACACAAUUUCAGUUUGACAUUUCGAUUUUUCUCUUUCUACUUUUUAACUAUAACGCAGAACAUGCAAUUAAUAUUAUUUUUCAAUCGCGUGAAGAAGAAACAACAAUAUAAUCUCACCACAUUGAUCAGCUGCACAAAGGCGAGGCCGAACCUCACGUGUACCUUCUCCGUCAUAUUUUGCACUGGUCGGAUGAGUUUAUUGUACCCUCUGAAUAAAUCUCGCACCAAUCUCUCCUCAUCUUCGGAGCACAGACCUGCAAGGCACCGCGUAAUUAUCGAAUUUCUGGAUUAGCUGCUCAGCGAGAUAUAAUCGUCAAAGGGCGUUCAAAUGACAGCGGCAGUAUCGGUGAAAAUGACAGAGACGUGUCACGACAACGACGAUCUACGGAAGGGCGAAAGAGGGUGCACGUGUAAGAACUGUAAUUGAUGGCGUCCUGUUUUGACAGGAACUACGUUACACGGAGGAUUUAGUUGCUAAUAAAUCGGUCGUACUUAUCAUCAACUCAUCCACGAGAAUCACGAGUAUUUAAGUAUGUUUAGGACAGUACAAAUAAAUGAUCGAACACAUGUUACGUUAGAGCUCAGAUCGUAUAAAUCAAAAUCACGUUCAUGUAAAAAUUUUGUGGCUUCGCGAAAACACAGUUUUUUUCAAACUUGUAUACUAUCUAAUCAAGUAUUGCAUGUGCACAUGAUCGAUAAAAUUUGAAAGCUGCAUGUGUACUUCUCGCAAUAAAGAUUACAAAAUAAAGGUUACAAAAAUAAGAGAA